AUCAGUUACAUCCCACAUAUUCCCUCCCCUUAUCCUGAGAGGAAACUCAAUUACACAUACAGUUAAAACAUACUUUCUACCCAACUUUCAUAACUCUAAAACCAUACAUCACAUUCACAUAAAAUUACAUAUUCACAAUCAAUCCAUUCAGGGGAACAACAUAUUAAAAAAAUGGCAUGAAUCCGACCAGGGGUUCAAAAGUUAGUAAAAGUAUCUUUUGGGCCCUGGCUGGCACAUGGCUAUCUGGCUCAAACAGGUUUUACAGAGCCCUCUAUCCUGGAGACAAUGGGGGAAAGUAAUCC